rnacentral:rRNA from 1 species
AUUGAACGCUGGCGGCAGGCCUAACACAUGCAAGUCGAACGAGUGGCGGACGGGUGAGUAAUGUCUGGGAAACUGCCUGAUGGAGGGGGAUAACUACUGGAAACGGUAGCUAAUACCGCAUACCAUCGGAUGUGCCCAGAUGGGAUUAGCUAGUAGGUGGGGUAAAGGCGCACCUAGGCGACGCUCCCUAGCUGGUCUGAGAGGAUGACCAGCCACACUGGAAUGGUGACACGGACCAGACGCCUACGGGAGGCAGCAGUGGGGAAUAGUGCACGAUAGGCGCAAGCCUGAUGCGGCCAUGCCGCGUGUAUGAAGAAGGCCUUCGGGUUGUAAAGUACUUUCAGCGGGGAGGAGUUACCCGCAGAAGAAGAACCGGCUAACUCCGUGCCAGCAGCCGCGGUAAUAC